GCCAUAUCAUAUUGAAACACCAGUUCCUAUACAAUCACCAAAGUUAAGCAACAUUGAGCCUGGUUAGUACCUAGAUAGGUGACCAUUUGUGAAUACCAGGUGCUGUAAG